UCCUGAGUUAUAUAGGGAAAGGGUUGCCUGGCUCCUUACAGGAAGCAUACUAUGGAAGUACAAAUCCCUACCCCCAGUACCUUCCCUGGCUUACCCUGAAGCUGAGGAGAGUUUCUGCUUGCAGUGUCAAACCAGCCAGUGACUAUAUAGUGCUUCCGCAAUAGACAUACAUUUCAUUGUUUGCUAGCUUACACUUACAUUUGUUUUCCUUCCUGCAGCUUAACAGCUGACAUCAGAUACUGAUGUUUGCCCGAGGAUGUGUGCUGCUUCAGGAACACAAAUUUCACAUUUGGAAUGUGCACAUGUCUAUCUUCAGGUUAAGAAUCAACUGUGCUCAUAGUAACAGAUACAGAGAUGCUCUUACCUCCCUGUGAAGUCCUGAGCCAGCUAUGCCUGCCCCUCUGGACUGUCCUCUGGGGGCUGAAGAAGGACAGGCAUGAUUCUGCUAAUGAAGGAGAAAGGUGAGGAGAUUGCCCCAGCCCCCAAAUAUAUCUGUUCCCGCUGUCAGGCAAUCCAAAGCCUUAAGGAGACAAAGCCUUUUGUUCUGCAAUUAUGAUGGAUAUGAAAUUUAAAGGGCAAAUACCACUGGAAGAAAAAAGAAGACACUGUCUUGAACUCACACUAAAUGAUUCUGAGAACUGAGUUCAGAGCAGGGUGAGACAAGAGAGCAGGGCUGGGGUUGGUGGUGAGGAGCAAGAAGAAUCCACAGAAGGAGGAAAGGGCAGGCAGAAAGGGAAGGCUUGGUUCAACCAAAACAAACACUGUUUCAUCCAACUAGUCCUGUCUGGAAGAACUUUUGGGGUCCAUCUUCUGAAAUCUCCAGAUUGUAGCAAGGACAAUGCUGAGUAAGUAGCUGCCUGAAGGACAGGGGUGGGUGAAAGUUGUUGGACUCAUUUACCGGAUACCAAUUUGCCAGAAAAGGAAGUGGGGGCGUCAGGAACAUUAUUUCCACUUCCUGGUUACAUGUUCAAACAUGGAACAACUGAGUCCUAACAGGAUGAGGGAAUAAAAUAGGUGACCACCCCA
rnacentral:lncRNA from 13 species